rnacentral:rRNA from 1 species
AGAGUUUGAUCCUGGCUCAGGAUUAACGUUGGCGGUAUGCCUAAUACAUGCAAGUCGAGCGCUUGUAGCAAUACAAGAGCGGCGAACGGGUGAGUAACACGUUGGUAACUACUCCAGAGUCAGGAAUAACUCCUAGAAAUAGGAGCUAAUGCCGGAUUGUCCCGAAAGGGUAAAGCAGCAAUGCGCUCUGGAAAGUGCCUGCGGCCUAUCAGCUAGUUGGUGAGGUAAUGGCUCACCAAGGCUAUGACGGGUAGCUGGUCUGAGAGGAUGAUCAGCCACAAUGGAACUGAGACACGGUCCAUACUCCUACGGGAGGCAGCAGUAAGGAAUCUUGCGCAAUGGGCGAAAGCCUGACGCAGCAAUACCGCGUGGAGGAUGAAUGGCGUAAGCUUGUAAACUCCUUUUCUGGGGGAAUAAUUAUGAAGGUACCCCAGGAAUAAGCAACGGCUAACUACGUGCCAGCAGCCGCGGUGAGACGUAGGUUGCAAACGUUAUCCGGAAUUAUUGGGCGUAAAGAGUUCGUAGGUGGCUUGUUAAGUGAGAUGUCAAAGACCGAAGCUCAACUUCGGGAAGGCAUCUUAAACUGGCUCGCUAGAGGGAGGCAGAGGCAAGUGGAAUUCUGUGUGUAGGGGUAAUAUCCGUAGAUACACAGAGGAACUCCAAAAGUGAAGACAGCUUGCUGGGCCUUUCCUGACACUCAAGAACGAAAGCGUGGGGA